GACGUAGGGCGCGAGCGUUGUCCGGAUUUAUUGGGCGUAAAGAGCUCGUAGGCGGCUUGUCGCGUCGACUGUGAAAACCCGGGGCUCAACUCCGGGCUUGCAUUCGAUACGGGCAGGCUAGAGUUCGGUAGGGGAGUCUGGAAUUCCUGGUGUAGCGGUGAAAUGCGCAGAUAUCAGGAGGAACACCGGUGGCGAAGGCGGGACUCUGGGCCGAUACUGACGCUGAGGAGCGAAAGCGUGGGGAGCGAACAGG
rnacentral:rRNA from 1 species